CUGCUCUGGGGGUGUCUGCGAUCAAGGACGAUCCUGGUGGGAAGGGGAAAGUGCUUGGGAAUGAGACGGCAGAUGUAGCCUGUGACGGCUACUACAAGGUCCAGCCUCAGGGCCUACAGCCACAGUGGCCUGAACCCCUGGUCCCUGCUUGUCAGUUGCACCCUGUGGAGGGAGUGGGACCCGCUCAUCCUCAGCACCCACUUUCCUCUC
rnacentral:lncRNA from 1 species